rnacentral:rRNA from 1 species
CCUGACUAGCCUGCGACGGAUACGGGUUGUGAGAGCAAUAACCCGGAGACGAUAUCUGAUACACGAUAUCGGGCCCUACGGGGCGCAGCAGGCGCGAAAACUUCACACUGUGCGAAAGCACGAUGAGGGAAUCCCAAGUGUUUGCUCGUAAGAGUAAACUGUUUCUUUGUUUAAAAAGCAAAGAGAGUAAGGGCUGGGUAAGACGGGUGCCAGCCGCCGCGGUAAUACCUGCGGCUCAAGUGGUGAUCAUUAUUAUUGGGCCUAAAACGUCCGUAGCCGGUUUAGUAAAUGCCUGGGUAAAUCGUGUAGCUUAACUAUACGACUUCCGGGUAGACUACUAAACUUGAGACCGGGAGAGGCUAGAGGUACUCCUGGGGUAGAGGUGAAAUUCUGUAAUC